UCUAGCGAGACUGCCGGUGUCAAACCGGAGGAAGGUGGGGAUGACGUCAAGUCCUCAUGGCCUUUAUGCCCUGGGCUGCACACGUGCUACAAUGGUGGGUACAAAACGAUGCAAGACCGCGAGGUGGAGCAAAUCCCCAAAACCCGCCCCAGUUCGGAUUGCAGGCUGCAACUCGCCUGCAUGAAGUCGGAAUCGCUAGUAAUCGCGGAUCAGCUACGCCGCGGUGAAUACGUUCCUGAGCCUUGUACACACCGCCCGU
rnacentral:rRNA from 1 species